UACGUAGGGGGCAAGCGUUGUCCGGAAUUAUUGGGCGUAAAGAGCGUGUAGGCGGUCCGGUAAGUCAGCUGUGAAAGUCAAGGGCUCAACCCUUGAAAGCCGGUUGAUACUGUCGGGCUAGAGUUCGGAAGAGGCGAGUGGAAUUCCCGGUGUAGCGGUGAAAUGCGCAGAUAUCGGGAGGAACACCUAUGGCGAAGGCAGCUCGCUGGGACGUUACUGACGCUGAGACGCGAAAGCGUGGGGAGCAAACAGG
rnacentral:rRNA from 1 species